CUGACAGGGAAUUUUCCAGACAGAGGGGCAGGAUCUUUGGGGACAAACAGAGAAAAAUCUGGAAUUAUUCUAACUGUCACGGCGAGACAUGGAACAAACAACCCCAGACAUGGACCAAACAUCUUAAAACUGUCACAGGCAAGGAUUGAAGCAUUGAAAGAGUUAACAUCUUGCCCAGGGCCUGCAAAUGAUCAACCUGACCUCGGUGGUCUGGGUGCUACAGACGGCCGGCCGGCCGGAACCUGGAACUGUGGCUGGGGGGCGGCUAGGAUCGAAUGAACCAGGCCAGAACUCAGCAGCAGCAUGCUGGGCUGUGUGUGUGUAUGUGUGGCUUCUCCUUCCCCCUGCCUGGUCUGCCCAGUGGUUGCAGUGGUAGAAUCUUGGCCAAGCCGGCUCGGCCCAGGGCUGCUCCUAGGGGCCAGCGGACUUGGCUCGGCCCCGGGCUAGCAGAAAGAUGUUUGAACUCGCAGCCAUGGCCCGGCCCACUGCACUCCCUCCCCUGCCUGGUAGUCAAUGCGGGGAGGGGCCGGUGGCAAGAUGUGAACAGCCACGGCCCAGCCCUGCUUCAGCCAGGGCCCCUGCAACCUUCCAUCCCCCGAUCUGGCAGCUGCCGGGCCCGGCCCGGCCCGGCCCGGCUGGGGCGGGGAAGAGCUUGGUGGGCUCCCCAGAGAGGGGCCCAGGCCCGUGGCAGAGCCUGCCCAGCCCAGCCUAGCCGAGACAGGGGCCAGGCCAGCCUUGUUACCUGUUCCCUGACCAGAAGGAAAAGAGGAAGUUCCCGGGUUUCUUUCGUCUUUAACGUGUUUUUCACAGAGGUGUGUCCAGCUUUCUAAUGGCUGGAAGCUUUGUAUCACUUUCCUUAAUGACUCCUGUGAAAAAUGCGUAUUUUAUGAUUGGCUUUUCGCAAAUAUUAAAAUGAAUAUUAUAUGUGUUGUGUUAGAAA